GACACUAACCACAAGCUAUUUCCUUUAGUUCUGCGCUGAAUCACAUAAGAGACGUCUCAUGGGUUGUCUUCUUUUGGCAUAUAGCUAAUGGGAAACUGUAGUUGUUCAGUAAUUUUGCUUCAUUGUYAAAGCAGACAGUAUGGAGGCGAUACAGGAAUGGUUAAAAAAAUCUAAGGGAACUGUGUCUAAUGUGGCUUGUAGCGUCUGCCUUGUGGUCUUGGAGAAGAUUCUGGAGCUGGAGGUUCGGUGUCCCUGCUAUCUUAUAUGGAAAAUUUUCUUUACGAUUGCAUUCUUUAUCAUUCCUGCCCUUUUAUCAUUCUUGCUGAUGCAAAAAGUACAACGACAUAGCUCUAACACAGUAACGUGGAAGGUUAUUUUUUCAAGCCUCAUCCCUCCCUCUGUGUGGUGGAUCCUACUUUUCUUUGAUGGCAGAUACCUUGCUUGUGCCAUGACAAACUGGAAUGAAACUGCUGUCAUUCUUAAUGAAGAUUCUUCUGUGAAAAUGUGUGAGAACGCAGGGAAAGAUCCACAUCAGAAUUUUCUUUUUUGGAAAAUUGUUUCUCAGGGAAUUGGUAUGGCUCUGCUCUUGUUCGCCUGUGUGGGGGUCAG